rnacentral:lncRNA from 1 species
AAAAAGUCAUAGGUUUUGGUUUUUGUGGCAUUAAGAAAAAAAACUAACAACAAGCGUGUGAAUCCAAAGAUGAAAAUACAAAGACCUCCACAAGACAUAUUCACAUAUACACGCACGGUAAUACAAGGUAGGCUACAAUCACCAACACCGACUUUUACAUUUGUUAAAAUACAAUGUCCAAAAAAACACCAUAAAAAGAAACUAAGAUCAAAUGAGCAAACAAAUUAGUAAAUAAAAAGAUAAAUAAAUAAAAUGAAGUUACAUAAACAAAAUUCUUAGUAGCAUCAAAAGAAAUUGUGAAAACCAGCUAAUGAUUUAAUGACCUACAAAUGCGAACUAUUCUCACUUUCAAUAUAGCAUCCAUCAUGUUUGUAUGUAGGAUAAGAUUUAUUUCAAAGAUGAUAUUUUACAAUUUUUAAUACUAGAUGCAUAGUCAAAAGAGUGGAUAAAAAUAACCAUAUAAAGUUGGUGAAAGUAAAUAAACACAUAGAAAAAUAAGAUGAGAUACAUUGCAUAACAUCUAUCUAUUGGCCUAUUUAAGAAAAUAAUGCUCAGAACUAUAACCAAUUUAUAAGCCCAUGUGUACUUUAAACAAAACAAAACAAGUAACAAAUAAAAUAUGAAAAGAAAAAAACAACAGCAAAAGAGUAAAAUCUCCAUUACCUUUCUCUCUCAAUCAUCUCUCAAUAUUUUUCACAAAUUUAUUGUUAUGAAGACAUGUUUCUCGCAGAAGAUAACAAAAUCAAAUUCCACACUUAUUCUUUCUAGAUUUGAUCAACAACAAUAAUAAAACUAAAAAUCAUGGAUUAAACCAAAAUCAUCUCUCAACCUCUCACAAUCAAACACAAAUCAAAACCAUAAUAUAGAUCCAAAACAAAAUGAUAACUAGUAUUAAAAAUGGAAUACUGAACUGAAGCGUUGGCUCUGAAGGUUACACUUCCGACGAUGGUACGUAGGUGAUUGCAAGAUGAUCUUUUCCGAUGGUUUAAGUUUGUGAGGAACAGCUUGAAGUUGAGCUACACCUCAUGCACAUUGAUGAUAGGUGAUGUUUAUGGAGAAAAUGUUGGGGUUGAUCUUGGAUGAGUGGGUUGAUUGGUGGUGGCGUACGGAGAGGAGGUUAAUGGCGGAUCCAUUUAUGUGCGUCUGGUGUUGUUGAUAAAAGGUUGUUUUGUGAUGAGAUUCUUGUCUGAGGUUGGUGAGUUUACAUUAAUCAAUUACAGUGAAAAAAGAACACGUUUUCGGUUUGGCAAAUGGAUAGUAAUAUUGGAGAAGGUCCCCUUACUUUUUCCAAUUUUUCUGCUUUUUAUUUCAAGUUACCAGAGAGAGAUAAUCAUCUUUUUGUGCGAUCCUAGUUCCCGUGAGAUACGAUGGGGAACAGGUUAUUUGUGAGAGUGAAUAAUGGUGGGACCUGUGGCAUGCCGAGAAUGGCUCUUUUUUUUAAUUACCAAACCAAUUUACCAGGAGAGGACACACAUGGAGUUGAAGUUAGAGCUGGCAAUCAAUUUCUGCUUAUCCAUUUUCCUUUCUUUUUAAUUCACUUUUUUCUUUUAAUUCUAAUUGGUCAACAAAUGUGAACAUGGAUAAUGUUUGAUAACCAUUAAUUAAAUU